rnacentral:miRNA from 1 species
CCACCUGCCUCUGCCUCAUGAGUGCUGGGAUUAAAGGCGUGCACCACCACGCCCGGCGAGAUACUAAUUUUUAUACACCGGCAUGGUAGUGUACACCUUUGAUCAUAGCACUCAGAGAAACUGAGGCAGGUGGGCC